rnacentral:rRNA from 1 species
UUUUAAAAGUCCAUUGGAGAUUAUGGGGCAGUGUGACAAGCGGCUGGGUGGUUAUUCCACACACAUACACACUCCCUUUUUUUUGGGACGUGUUUGUAUGUGUGUGGCACUCGUCGCCUUUGUGGGAAAUCCGCGUGGCACUGUUUGUGUUGUUGGCAGACUUCGGUCUUACCCUUCGCGUCUCACAUGUGUCAUGCCUUCCCUCAACUCACGGCAUCCAGGAAUGAAGGAGGGUAGUUCGGGGGAGAACGUACUGGUGCGUCAGAGGUGAAAUUCUUAGACCGCACCAAGACGAACUACAGCGAAGGCAUUCUUCAAGGUUACCUUCCUCAAUCAAGAACCAAAGUGUGGGGAUCGAAGAU